GACUGCAACUCCUCGCGCAGUACUUCAUGUUGGGAAAUAUCACAUGGAACGCCUCGUUGUUUGUGAAAAUCAGGCCCAGCAUCAAAGGUACAGCUACACAUAUAGCUCCCCCACAGUGCUCCCUCUGCUAUGACAGUAAGGUGUGUGUCUAAGACGAGACCACCACUGUGUGUUCUUCGGCCAGUGUGUGGGCUUCCGUAACUACCACUACUUCCUCAGCUGUCUGCUGUUCAUGUGGACGGGGCUGCUGUACACUGUAGUGGUGAACACAGGUCUUCAUCAUCAUCCUGAAGGAAGGAGUCACGCUGCACAGCAUCCUGCUACAACCCAUGCCCUGGAUCAUGCUCAUCUCUGGUUAGACUGGGAGGGAGAGAGGGGGAGGGUGUAUGUUCAGAGAGAGAGAGCAAGGGAGAACCGAGCGAGUGAGAGGUGUAUAUGUGAGCGAGAGAGAGAGAGAGGGUAUGUGUAUCUGUAUGUGCAACCUGGUCUCUGAGCAUUUCGUAUUAUUCAGUACGUAAAUCCGUCACACUCCAUUUAGUAUGAUAUGUUACGUUUCAUAUGGUAUGUAUUAAUUUGUGGAUGUACAUGUUACGAUUUACAAUUUGUAUUAUAGUUUACGAAUGUACAAAGCAUAUAAUAUGUUACAAAUUUGCAAAUGUACUAUUUGUUACGAAUUUGCUGAAAGUAUGAAAUGUUACGAAUUCUAUCAAGGUGGCUAACAUUAGCUAGCUGGCUAACGUUAACUAGGUUAGGGUUAAGUUUAUGAGUUAGGUUAAAGGGUUAAGGUUAGGGUUAGCAAACAUGCUAAGUAGUUGCAAAGUAUCUAAAAAGUAGUAAGUAGUUGAAAAGUUGCUAAAAUGCUUAAGUUGUCCCUGAUGGGAUUCAUUAUACGCCCACCCAUACACCCUGGACAACCACCUUAGUUUUGUUUUUUCCUUAAAGGAAAAUGCCACCCAAAAACUAUAUUUUGGUAUUUGUUUCAUUUGUCCAUUUUUGACAUAGUACCACAAUUGCAUCAUGCUUUGUCUUCUAAGUUAGUCUUAGUGUAUAUAUGCCUAGAAGUAUGCUUGUUAAUGCUUGUUAAUACUUGUAACUGAAGUUUUAUGCCUUGUGUGUGAAUCCAUGCAAUUUCUGAAGCAAAAAUGUUGCUAAGAAUGUCUGGGAGUGGCAAGAGGAACAGGAAAAUGAGCUGUUAUUAGCAGAGAUAUUUGGAACUCUCUUUGUUAUUGGUCUAUUAACUAAUUUAGACCAAGUGAAUCCAGGUUAAAGCUAUGAUCCCUUAUUGAUGUCACUUGUUAAAUCCACUCUAAUCAGUUUAGGUGAAGGGGAGGAGACCGGUUAAAGAAGGAUUUUUAAGCCUUUAGACAAUUAAGACAUGGAUUGUGUAUGUGUGCCAUCGAAUGGGCAAGGCAGAAGAUUGAAGUGCCUUUGAACAGGGUAUGGUAGUAGGGGCUAGGCUCACUGGUUUGGGUCAAGAACUGCAACGCUGCUGCUUUGUUUUUUACAACUUGUAGAGGUGAGGGGGUACAACUCAAUAUUAGGAAGGUGUUCCAAAUGUUUGUUAUACUCAGUGUAUGUGAUGUGUUUGAGUUUCACUAUCCCUGAAUAAAUGUCAAACUAUUGA